UGCCGCCGCCGCCAGUGACACCUUUGCCGGAGCGUGUGAACCGUACGGAAUCGCCGGCAUGAGAUGGCGGCCGCCUCCGCGUUCGGGUCGUCCCCCGGAGAUGGAGCGGUUCCUCUGCGAGAGGCUGCUUGAUGCGGAGGACCCCAUCGCGGAGCGCUUCCGGGCGUUCUUCUCCCUCGGUCCCUCCGCAACCUCCGCGGGGAUGCGCCGCGCCCUCAUCUAAGCUGCAAAGGAUCCUUCCAACUUGCUUGCUCAUGGGGCUGCAUUUGCACUUGGACAAAUGCAGGAUGCUGAGGCUAUUCCUGAUCUGGUGGCAGUUCUCAAAGAUUUUUCUCUACAUCCAUGUCUUCCAUGAGGUUGCUUAUGUGCUAGGUCAGCUGCAAAAUAAAACCGCUUCAGAUGCACAUUCUACGGUCGUGAAGAAUGUCUGUGAGCAUCCAAUGGCCAGGCAUGAAGCCGCUGAAGCCCUUGGCUCAAUGCGGACCAAGAGAGCAUUGUGCUUUUGGAGGAGUUUGCAAAGGAUCCUGAGCCCAUAGUACGAGAGAUCGGGGAAGUCAUUUGAGUUUCUCUUCCUUGAGACUCCUCGUGUGCAGCCCUAUGAUCACCCAAAUGCGAAGUGGCUGAAGGCUCCUUGGUUAAUGUGACUGCACCAACCAUGUAUCCACUGGUGGCUUGCCUGGUAGGAAAGAUUUUGCUUACCAUCUCAGUGGCAACAGCGGAUGAUGAAAAAUGGUGAAGCUGCAGCUCUUGCUGCUGCAAGCAAAAACUGACACAGUGACCGACAGCAAAACAGAUCGUAGCUGCCUCGGAGCUAGGAGAAGAAUCCUCUGAUCCUUUCGGUUUGGAUGGUUUUGUUGAGCACAAGCCCAAGAAGCCUGAGAGAGCCCGAGAAAGGGCCGAUGGCAGCUCUGAACAUAGGAAGCUGACAGGGAGCAAAGAUAUUUCUCAAGUCGCAGCUGGAGGCCCCUUGUGAAACGCCUGGAAAUAGCUGCUCGGCGCUACAGAGUUCCAUGGGCGCAGACUGCCAUUGACAUCCUUGCGAAGCGCGCAUACUCCCACGAGACGAGGAUCAGCUGUGGUUGCUCGGCUAAGGUGGUCAGUCGGCAGAGCCGUUGGUGUCUGUCUGAUCCCCGCUUCUCCCCCUUGGCAGGCGGGCGUAGCAUGAUGAUCUGGUUGGGUUCAACAAGGACGGCGCUCGCCUGAUCCAUCCAUUGCCUAUGCCUGGCCUGGGACUCCCAUGGUCCAUGGAUUUCGGUGCUUGUGAUGAAUGCGGACGACGCCAGGGUUUCUUCUUUGGGCUUCGGCGAGCGACACGGGCGUGGGAGCUGCUGUUUUUGUGCUUGGAUUUCCGUAGAGGAGGGUUGACAUGACAUGGCCAUCACCAUCCCCAUGCAUGACCUCAUACAUCAGCUGACUGACUGGAUGUGUUGGAUGCAUCUGCAUCCCUUACAGUUGCGUUGCGAUGCCAAGCUAAGCUUGCAGGUACCUGUACACCGUAUGGUAGGUGGGUGGGUGGUGCCUGUACUGUACACCGUAUGGUGUGAUAUAGAGAAGGGGGUUGACUUGAAGAAAGUACAGUAGAGAAAGAGAGCAAAUGUUUUUUGGUUUUGAUGAUGUUUUCUUUUCCCUUCUCUUCUAUAAGAGCAACUCCAUUAGUUUGCUAAAGGACUCUCUAAAUCAAUAAGUUAGGUAGUUGGUCUUAAAACUUGUGUCCAACAGCUCUUUAUGAACUUUCUAAACAUAGGAACUUCAAUUCUUAUA